rnacentral:lncRNA from 1 species
CAAUAAUGUUCAGCAAAGUAAGAUCUACAAAUAAGUCAACAUGACCAAAAUGGUCAGUUGACCCCUGAAGGAGUUAUUGCCCUUUAUAGUCAAUUUUCAUUAGUUUUUUCAAAAUAUUUUCCUCUGGAACUAAAGGGCCAAGUUCAUUACAGAUAGACAAAAUUGUAAGUAGCAAGAAUGUUCAGUAAAGCAAGAUCUCCAAACACAUCACCAUCACCAAAACACAAUUUUGUCAUGAAUCCAUUUGAUGAUCUGUUUUCUUUGUUUGACAUGCAUAUAGACCAAGGUGAGCGACACAGGCUCUUAAGAGCCUCUAGUUUCUUGGCAUUAGUAGCAUAACAGGUUCUAUUAGAAGAUCAUGAACUUAUUACCUUUCAAGACAACUGAGUCAAACUCCUUGUUCUGCUGGGGUUUCAAGUAUAUCAAUCUUAAUUUUCUGUCAUUUAUUCCUGGAUUUGAUAAUCUUUCUGUUAUUUUUUGGUUGUGUCUUGAGGUUUUCAGUCUUUCCUGUGAUUUCCUUUUUCUCUUUUUAAUCAUCUCCCAUCAGUUUUAAUGUACGGUAAAAAAUUGAAUAAUAAAUAGUCUCUAAAUAUAACCCACUUGUUCCUGUACAUCUCCAAAAGUAGAAGAAGCCUUGGGGAAUUAUGUUUUCCAGACCGUAUGUCCCUCAGUCAAUUUAUACAUACCAUCACAAGUUAAAGUUUAGAUAUAAGGUAGCUUACAAAUGAUAUUAUGAUCAAAUCAAUUUGAAACUAGCGCUCAUUUUCAUUAUGAUGGAUUUUUUUUGUUCCUAAAUAUGCCAAAUAAGGGUUUGCACCCAGAUUUUGGGGUUCACAGAUAUUGAUUAUAUAAAUAGUACUGUAUCUUGGAAGCUUUUUUUCUCUCUGAAAAUCAAAAUGUGAUGAUGCAAAUUUGGCAUGGUGUCUAAUGGAGUAUGAACACAUGUUCCGUUUAUGCAUAUAGGUUUUGGUGGGAAUUUCAAUAGCAAAAUAUCUCAACAGUAACCUAAGAUCACUCCCAGUUUUUGGUUGUUUAGUUCUUAGUAUUCUAUGUUGUGUUGUUUGUACUGUUGUGUGUACUGUUGUGUGUACUGUUGUGUGUACUGUUGAGUGUACUGUUGUUCUUCUGUUGGUCUUUUUUUCUUUUUUAGCAAUGACAUAGUCAGUUUAUUUUUGACUUAUGGGUUUAUUGGUAUCUUUUGGCUCUCAGAGCUAUUUCUUUUUUUUUCUCAAUUUUACUUUUAUUAUGGACUGGGGGCUACUCUAAUGUUGACCAUUGUUCACACUUAUGGGAAACAAGUAUUUUAUAAUGAGUAACUUAAAUACAAUAAAUAACUCAAUAAAAAUAAGAUAUUCUACUUUUUAUCAUCAUCAUCAUCAUCUUCAUAAAUAAUUUGUAUCAAAGACAUAAAAUUUGUUCAUUUGCUUAGUGUUGUGUAUUUGUUGGUUAAAUGGCACCAUAUUAAUUUCUGCAUUUAUAUUGAAAUACACACAACAAUAUAUAACAACCAUUAUCAACAUUCUUAACAAGAUUUGUAAUAAUAAAAUUUUGUAAGUUCGUAUUAGAAACAUUACAUGAUUAGGUUAGGUAUAUUGUUAACAUUUCAGAUAUUGUCUUCCUAUCUGUCAUUCUUACAAUUCACAAACAAGCCUUGGUUCAUUGAUAUUUUGAAAGUAUGAGACUUAACUACAACAUCAGUAUAUUGGAUUUCACAAUAGCCAUAUGAAUAUACAAUCAUAAGCUUAGCUUUACAGAUAUUUGCUUAGUAAAUUCAUUUAUCUUAAAUCAUUUUCUUUAAAGUAAGCUUGUAUGAAAAACGUACUUUAGUAGUUUUUAUAGUUGUCUACGGAAACAGAUUAAAAUAAACAGCUGCGCCAUGAGCGCAUGAUACGCCCGACGUCUUGUGUGGAAGUUUUAUGCAAUAACCAUUUAUUGUUUUUGAGACACGGCAGGACAUGUGAACCCCCCCUCCCCACCCUGUUAUUUUUUUACAAAUAUCACUAAAAUAAAAUUUUGAAUGAAACCAAAAAGUAAACAGAUCUUUAAAUUAGUAUAACAAAGAAGUGUGUACAGUUUCAAGCAAUAAUCAUAAAUUGUUUUGAGAUACG